CGUGAGGUGGUGGUGGGUUCACGCGAGGUGGUGGGUUCACGUGAGGCGCGAGGUGGUGGUGGAUUCACGUGAGGUGGGUUCACGUGAGGUGGGUUCACGUGAGGUGGGUUCACGUGAGGCGCGAGGUGGUGGUGGGUUCACGUGAGGUGGGUUCACGUGAGGCGCGAGGUGGUGGUACGUGACCCCCGUGUCUUUGCGAUGCCACGUUUCCUCGCAGCGGACUGCUAUCUCGCGGUAACCAUAGCAACAUCCGCACAGCAACAUCACUCGUAUAUCAAAGUAACAUUACUCACAUCACACAAACAUCGCUUACGUCGCAGUACACAUCACCCACAGGAACAUCACGCACGUCAUAGCAACAUCACUUACAUUACAGUAACAACACUCAGGCCAUCAGUAACUCCGUCACCUCAGAAACAACAUCGCAUUACAAUAACAGUAUCACAGACUUCCAUUACCUCAGCUACGUCCUCGCAGCAAAAUCACAGACCACAAUUCCAAAGGCCGUCGAUAUUAUGCUCGAUAAUAAAAUUGAUAUUCGGUCCUACCUUGCAAUUCAAUCAUCUUGCUUUUCAGUGGCAGAUACAUUUUAAAGGAAUGUUUUAACACGAAGGAUCGAAUUGCUACAUUAGGUUGUAAUGAUUGUUGUUAAAUUUACCGGUGAGCUUAACAAUUGGUGCAUUAAACGCUUGUAAGCGUGUUAAUUCAAUUUGUUUGGCUAUGUCGGGAGGCGGAGGUUCUUGCAACACAAAUUACUUAAAUACUACGUGAAUACACUGAAUAGUUUAUUCUCUUUCUACAGGUUGGAACAGAAGAAAAAAUAUGUUUUAAUAGACUCAAAGUUUCAGUUCCGUACCUUGAAGGAUUAAAAUUUAUUUCGAAAAACACAAUACAUGCGCACAUCACUUGUGAAACCCCAUGGACGCAAUGGAAACCGCUAUCACUGGAAAAUGAAGUCAUACACUGGGCAGGGCAAAAGAGCCACAGCAAUAUAGAAGAGUUCCUGUUCAAGGAGUGUAGCUCAAACCCGUUAUCUGAGGUGGACAUACGAGAAAAAGACUUACAUGAUCCUAAAGAACAUAUUUACAAACCAGGAGAAUAUUCAAUAACUGGUGGCCUCAAGUGGAGUAACUACACCGAAAUAGAAGAUUGUCUUCUUGAGGAAAUGUUGUCCAUCAGCGCUGUAAGAGUGGUGAUAAACAGCCACCUUAUCACACCGAAGCUCAUUGGAUGCCUUAAGCCAUAUGCACUCAGUGAUCCAUUGCUUGGAUUCUGUGCAUCAUUUUAUAGUGGAAAAAAGUACAGCAGAGAGGAAUAUACAUUUCACGAGCCACUUGAUUAUAACAAGGCAGAGAUAUACAGCCUUUAUAAUCCAAGCAGUGAAAAUAAUAUUAAACAUGUAUUUUCUCAUUUUGAGGUACGUACUCCUGACAUUCUAAGCAGUGCACUGCAUUACUGUCCAAGUAACUCAGCAGUAGAGCGAGCGGCUCGCAAUCGGAAGGUUACACGUUUAUAUUCUGGUUUCAGCAGUGGUUGUCCUAUGGAUAGCCUCAUAUCUGCCAUAGGAAUGUGGAUUUUCCAAUACUAGUUUGGGGCUUUAAACAGGCCAUAAGCACCACCUUAAGGCUUAUUUUAGCAGAAAAUAAUUUUAUCUUUGACUCGUAUUAUAAUUCCCACUUGCAGGCCAAUACUGAGUCACCUUGGACUGUACAGGCAUAGCUGGCAAUGGGGAUCUCCGAAUUAUUAAAAUGAGAUGCGAUUGAUGUAAGGGGCACUUAAGUGCCCUGUAAAUGCACAUAUUCUAAAUUGUUUAUUCAAAGGAAAAUUAUUAUUUCUAGCUGUGUAACAAGUAUGGAAAAAAGCAUAAAAAACGUGUUACUAAAUAUAUAAAUCAUCAGGUACAUAAAUAUUGCAAUGUUUAAUCUUUUUUUACAUUUUAGCUGGAAUACACCCAAACAGUUACAAGAAAACCACUCCGUUAUAUCCUAAGUGAACUACAAAUGUGUACACCAUUACAAAAACCAUCAGUUCUGGCAGAAACAUCUCAGAACGUUAAUCAAGAAAACCAUGUGGUUGAUGGGACGUGGAGGGACAUAUGUGGAGAUGUGUGUUUCAUCUUUAAGGGGAAAAACUCCUUUCAAUUGGAGAAAUUAUCCUUCAAUCCUACAACUGAAAAUAUAAAGAAAUCCCCAAAUUAUGAUGGUAAUAAUUAUGAUGGUCAUAAUUUAGGUAAGUUAAAUGUGCUUAUUUUAUAUUUGCUGUGCCUCGCUUGUUGAAAACUGAGUUCAUGUAUUUGAGCCGAGCUUUUGUUUAAGCUAAGAAUAAGCAGUAGGAUUCAGGAAUAAUUAAUGCAGUUCUCACAACAAAUUUGAUAGUAUCUAAUAGAUUGUUGUGAGAAAUGUUCUUCAACUCCCAAAUGGGCUGAAACGAUCAUGAUUGGUGCUGUAUACGCCAGAUUUGGUUGUGAGAAUUGGUGUUGUUGCUACACCUGCCAAUUUCAAUGUGUGUGGCUAUGUAGGCUGGUGAAGGGAUACACAACACAAAUGUGAGGAUUAUUACGUGGACUAACUCAAAAGUCAAUUAUGAAUCAUAUUGGUUGUGCAACUCCACGUGUUUAAUUAUACUUGUGGCCAAAAAAUAGACUUCUGGGCAAUGGAUGUAGAUAAUGACCUGAUAAGUAUUGUAGGCAUGGUUGCUACAUACAGUGCGAAAGAAGUUCAACAUACAUAUAUAGGCAUUGCUUGCAAAGGUUUUGCUAAUUGAAGGUCUGGUAAGCUACCGGUACUCGGAGACACUUUAACACACAGAUAGAUUCAACAGUAUCAUACUAUGGUAUCCCCUACAGAGUGUAUGACAUAUGAAGGUCCAUCCUGGACGUCGUCCCUGCAGGAUGUCCAUAGGAUUACUAUUCCUGCCUGAUCUUGACAUAAAGAUUGGGAGCAAUGGUCCAAGUAAUGCUUUAUCUCCCUUAAUAUUUCACUAGAUUUGAAUGCAGAAGACUUUUUGUCAGAAAGGUUUUAUCUUGAAAGACACAUUUUUCACUCAACAUGUUCAAAGUUGUCUUGCACUACAUCAUUUCAGAAUGAGAUUGCAAAUCUAAAUAUUGAACACAUCCCUGAAAAUAAUAGGUAAGUAUUCUCAAUAUACAUCGCAGUGUUCUGCUAGUUUACUGGCUAAUUUGUUCUAGUUUAUCUGUUCUUUUAAAGAUUGUAUCCUGAAAAUGCCUACAGUAAGUCGUAAUAUAGUGGAGCUUCUGCUAUUACAAAUGUUAGUAGAGGGUGCCGGAGAAAAGGUAAUUAACAUAAACUGCAUUUCCCUUUGAUCUUUUUAUUUAAUAUUCAGCCCUGAUUUAUCUUCAUCGGAGCGCAGCCAUGCUUCUUGAUGGUAAUGGCUGUUGUCAUAUGCAUAUAAUGUAGUAUGAGAAUGCCACAUCUACAGUAUUUUAAGAAAUUGAGUGGAAUAUGAAAUUUCAAAUCUAGAAUGAAAUAUUGUGUUGCUCAAAACGGAUGGUCACUUUUGCCUUAUUUCUCGAGAGAUAAGCAGGAAAUGUGUAGUGAGGAAGCAUUUUAUGGUGUGAAAGGUGCUCUAUAAAAUAAAAGUUUUUUUUAUAAUUGGGAGUCAUUGAUAAGUUGGCCAUGGAAUGUAUUUAUAUUACCAUGGCUCCGACAUACAAAAAGUAAACUGCCAAUUGAGAAUUCUAUCUAUUAUUGUGUUGAUUAUUUCAACACAGUUGCUGAGCACAAAAUCAAAGGCCCAUGAUGUGAAGUGGUCAGCAACAGAAAGUACUAGCCGAAUUGUAAUAGAUAAGCGUUAAAACGUGUUUUUAAUUGAGCAAGGUUGUAAGAUCUUGGGAAAGAGGUGAUGUUGGGAAAUAAUUAUAUCACACUGGACUGAUAACUGUCGUAUUUAAAUGCUUUUGUUUUCAAAUCUCUUUUCAGACACUUCAUGUCCAAAGAGAUAAAAAGUUCAAAGUUGAGAAGAUUUUGGGAAUCUGAAAUGCAAUUUCGUGAUAUCCACUAUUUAUUUCUUGCUGUUCCCAACGAUUUCUCCAGCAACGCUGAAAUGAAUCCAAUAGCUCUUGCUCUUAAACAGCUUAAGCCGUCUCAUGCACAAGUUUGUGGAAUUAAAGUAAUAAAUGUUGAAUAUUUGCAGCAGUUUUUGAUACACAAAGCUGUGUCAUUGCACACUGCACUGGUCCAUGGCACAAGUAGAUUUGGAGUCUUGGAAGAUAAUCGAGCUCCUCACGUUGAGGUUGAAGUUCAUAGAUCUUACACGACAGAAAAUCUUGAAGCCAUAAAACAUAGAGCUGAAAUGAUCAAUGGACAAUAUUUAGAUCAAUCCAUGAAGCAAGCUAUGGAUUGUAAUAAUGACCAUCAAGAAUGCCUUGUGUCAAACUUUUGUAAAGCUGAGAGUUUGCAAAUAUGUGAAACAAAAGUUGUGCUGGCUGGUCAAUUUUCCAAUCAGAGUUCAACAAGUUGGUCUAAAUCAAACAACAAAAUAUCUACUCAAAUUAAAACUCAGAGAGUCCCUUUGCAAGAAAAUGUAAAAGAAUUACCAAUGCAAGCGCCACUCUUUAGUGAUACAAAAACGAACUCUCUGCACGAGUAUUUAAUAUUACAAUACAGAAAUGAAUCCAUAAAAACGCCAUCUAAGCCAUGUUCAGCAGUAAUUGCAAGAUCUGUAAAUUUACCAUCUUUUAAAAACGUGAAAGUGAAUUACGAAGAAAACAAGCCAUGUGACCUCUCCAUUGUUACUAAUCCAGAGGCGGCAGAAAGUGCUGUACUUAAACCUACCCACUGUAAGAAAGAAAAAUCUACAGUUGUUGAUGUUCUGCUUUCAGAUGCCAUGUGUAAUUGUAUAAGAAUCUUAGAGCUGUCUGCUAGAACAAGCAUGGAAAUGUUAAGACGUAAUAUCAACUCAUUUAUGAGCACUGGGAGUUUCGUGCAGCUUACACCGGACAUGAUGCAAUAUUUGGUGAAGAUAAUAGAAAGGUUUCUCCACGAUGAGAAAGAAAGUGAUGCAGAAAACUAUAGAGAAAUGCAUAUGCAUGCAGUGAUCCUCCAUGCGUUGGUAAGAGCAGCGGAUUUAAUAGUCAACCAGGAUCUUUCAGUCGCAAUAGCAUUUCUUUCUGAGAAAAAAGAUGCUGAUGUGGAGCUGCAACAAAUAUGGAGACAAUUGACUACCGUACAAUUUGCAUUUAAAGAAAACCAUGAAGCUCACUCAAAGCAUGAAAAAUUAAAAAGUCUGAUAUCAGAUUGGCUGACAAGGAAGAAACGGAAAAGGAAUGACAUUGACCCAAAGAUCAUGAUUAUUGUGAAUCGGCAUGCUAAAAUGCUAUACUCAGCUAUUGCACAAAGCCUGAAUGGGAUUAAAGGUUUUAAAGUAAAGUACAUCUCUCCAAAAGAUGAGUCAUUUGGAUAUAACGAAAUUCUGAAAAACCUGGACAAUGCAUCAUGCAUAAUAAUAGGCAGCGAAGAUCUUGCAGAAGAUUUUCCAUGGGCACAAAUUUCAUUGGUGAUUGAAUUUGAGUUCUCAGCUACUUCUCUGUGGGCAGAUGUUUGCAAGAGGCAGUUUAUACGAUACGUUUCUCUCAGAACGGUGCUGCCUGCUUGUUGGGAAGAAGAAGCAAGGCCAAGUGUGUCAUUGUUGGCUUCUCUGCAUGUUCCUUACAAACUAAUCAUGUCUCAGAAGCUGACAGGCAUCAAGGAUUCUUCGAGGUUGCUGGAAUCGCGGUACAAUGUGUUUUUCUGUACUUUAUGAUUUGUGUACAAAUAUGAGGUGUAUAACGAUUCAGUAUUGUGUUUCAAUUCAGGGGUCCAAUUAGACGCAAUUUUUUCAUUUUGUUAUGGUUUUUACUCUCCUAUGUGUAGUUUCUGUGUUUCUAAUUCUUUUGUGCAGUUUUGUUCUGUAUUGUGUCCCUAAAUGUAACAUGAGCAUAUACGUUGUUUAUUUAACAUAAAGCAAAAUACAUUCUUGAACAAGAUGUGUGUAUUCUUGCAAAGUUACACCCCUCACACAAUGACUAACAUGCCGAGUCACAUGCCAUUGGCAUUAAACCAAUAGCAAAGAUAGACAGAUGUAGUCAGAACAGCUAUAAGAUAGACAAAAAAAUAGAGAUGUAUUCAGACAUGAGAUAGUAAAGAUAUUUACACAGGAAAGCUAUACAAGGAAUAUAAAAUAUGUUUCCAGAUGCGAGGCAUUGAGAUAAAAGACAUUCAUAAUAGAUGUAACAUAAAUGAGGGAAAGGGAAAGAGGUGAAGUCAGUAAAAAAAUAAAAAAAAUAAGUUACGUAGAUAUCCACUGAAAAAAUCUCUAAGAAUAGAGAGAAGAUAUAUUCAUAAGAGCACGACAAGAGAUAGGAGGGAUAUGGGUUCAUAAUACAGCUUAUGAGGGACGGGAGCAUUGUUUUCAGAGGCAAAAUUUAAGAGAUUUCAGAAACAUUUGAUCUAUAAUGUAAAUAUUCAUGAUAUGAAGAUAUUUUGCACACCAGACAAUAAGAUUGUGGGGGUCUCAUAUGGUACAAUAUAUCACUCCGUGGGCUACGUCCACUUUAAACAUUUAUAGACAGUUUGCCUUUAGAGGCUUACCCCCUUUUUUCCCCACCUGAUGACGAUCGCUUGUGUUGCGAUCGAAAAAUAGUUUUUUGUAUUUGUUUUAACCAAUCUACGCGACUUUACCGAAAGACCCAAUAAUAUAUCGUAAUAUCGUCAAAUCACGGAAACCAUGCUGAUAUACAAUAAUGUGCAUUCUGAUAUACAAAAAAUGUGACGUCUUGUAACAGGAACAGUGUAACAAUAAUGGAAAGAAAUUACAAUGAAUUGACAAUUCAGACUUCGGAAGGAACACAUCCUAUAUUUUAUGCUGAUUUAAUUAUUGAUGAAGGCACAGCUAUAGUCCUAAAGGUAUUUUUGCUCACACCGGGUAUUAGACUAAGAUUGUACUUUGCAUGAAUGUAUCGACUGAAAUAAUGGGUAAAGAUGGAAGCAUCAAGUUGGUAGUUAUAUGUGAGAAGCAUGAUUUAUUUCUGUCAUCGAACCCCAAUCUUGCAUUUUGGAUAGCAAUGAGCAUUUGAAAUAUAGUACAUUCGUUACCUGUUUUUCUCUGAUUUCUGUUUGCUCUACUGUUGUACAGUAUUUAGCUUUUAUAUUCUUUUAUUUUGGUGACAGGUCAACUCUUAAAUAUUAGACUCUCAUUGCCUCUUUAUGUUAAACAAGAUAAACUUGAAACCAGUUCAACUUACAAUAUUUUUCACAGUUUUGUGUCAUCUAUUAUGUUUAGUUUGUAAAAACAUAAUUGCUGUUUUGCGUGUUUGUGUGCAGAAUUUAGAAUGUUUACACGAAGAAGGUGCUACAGACUACAUAAUUUCCCACCUGGCAGCAUUGUCUCUGCAAUUCCAAAAAUGCUGGCUCAUUCUUUAUUUAUCUUCGUCCGAUUAUAACAUGACAUUCUUCAAACUGGAAGCAUUCAAGAAACAGUAGAAGCAAUAAGGGCGAUUGGGGAUGUGACACUCUUCAGCAGCAAGGGUUGGGACCUUGACCACUGUAUUAUUAGGCCUUUUCUGAAGCCCCUGGUUUCAAAGGUAAGCUAACUUCAUGCAUAUCUACAUCUAUAUGAAGUACAAUGCAGCCCCAGUGCAUACUUGCCUAUUUGAAUGCUACUGACAUUGUAAUUUCUUUGUGAGUGCUGAUCCACAAUCAUGGAUUACCAAGCAGCCCUUGAAAUUAGUUACCAAAAUGUGCCACAAUACUACCACAGUCAAGGCUUGAUGUUAACUGUAUGCCUGGACUCUUCAGCAAUACUCUACAGAGCGCAUCUGCAGAGUAUAAAUCACGCACGUUUGGUUGAGUGGUCUUUUCGGAGGGGUAUGGGGUAGAACAAGGGACUGGCCAGUGUGAUAUUUUUUUAUAUAUGCAAUAUGUUCAGGAGCUAAAUGCCAAUGUAGACGUCUGCUAGCCAUGAGACGGCUUCCAAGAGAGAGUUCGUGUGGUUUUACUAUUUCUCUAUUGAAGGAGCGCCAACUGCAUUGGUUUACCAUACUGUAUUGUCCAUAGUUUGGGUUGCAUGGCCAGUCGCACUACUGUGGCUUGUCUUUAAAUAUCAAUGGAGAAGAUGUGUGCAUCAGCCUGUUGAUGUUCUGAUGCAGUUGAUGGUUACACCAGUGUCUUCGAGGAAUGUCAAAGCCAGAUGUGAUGUUUCGGUCUCGAAUGAGGUGUUCUGGAUGUCUGUUCUCCCGUGUGAUGUUAUCUAUCAAUGUAAAAUGCCUCUGAUGGAUGUCGUGGUGGUGGCCAUGAUGAACUCCUUAUAUAACAAAAUAAAUCAGGUUUUUGUUUACUAUUCCAUAUACUAAUGGAGUAGCCUUCUGCUGAAAACUGCUCUGCAAGGAUUUACAUUCAUUUAGUUGUGACACUUGCUGUUUUGGAUGCUCAAUGUUCUCGACUUUCUGCUGACGUUUUUUGCAAUGUUUUUAUUUUAACAAUAAGAGAUAUAUAGACAGGUUAACAUUUAUUGUUCACGAACCCAGUGUAAUUAUUGUCAUCUGUGUUUUAAAUACAAAACACGAUUUUUCUUCCAUUUAUAGGAGGAGCAAUUUUUGCUCGGAUUUCCUUGUAUUAAUGCAUUCGUAGCACAACUGAUGUUACAAAAAUUAGAUUCACUCCAGCAAAUCCUGUCAUUGUCACUGCCAACAUUAUGCAACCUUUUACCCCAAGUGCCAACAAAGGUCUUGAAGGUAAAGUUACGCUGUGUCCUGCCGAAACCGCCUUUUUAAAAACAAUAAUUGUCUCGAGCUUGCUCAUGUUUGUAAUCAACAAGUUCCUCUUUUACCACUUGUAUCGGUUUGUCUGUAGUAGUAUGACCAUCUCUUUGCAGUAUUAACUAUGAAAUCGACAUUCGCAUGCAGACUGGCUCUGUCUUUUUUACAUUUAAACCUUUUUUUACUUCCUGGCCCAAUCACUCAAUAACGUGCUAAAUUAUGUAUAGAAAUAAACACUGGCAUUAAUUUGUACUGAGCAGUGGUGCGGUGGUUAACAUACUGCACUGUUAACCUGGCGACCCGAGUUUGAUUUUCGGCCAUGGCUAAAACCUGUGGCAAGUAAUAUCUGAACCUGGCUUGGGGCCCCCUUUCGCAAUCCAUACUUAGCAGCGUGGUGAGGUAUGGUCAAAUAAGCUCCAUGACUAAGAGGGCAUGGGGAGGCCUUCAUCCAAGAGUGGAUUGACAACAUUUUAAAUUAUUGUUUUGCCAUGUUUUUUUUACUUUCAUAUAUAUAAAGAGAGCAGUACGCAAUUGUCUAUACUGAUGCCUGUUAUAGUCUUGGUUCUUUCGGUAAAGUCACGUAGAAGGGAAACAAUAAAAUGAUAAAAAUAUAAAACAAUGUGAGAAUUUUAUUGUUUUAUAUUAUUAUUUUAUUGUUUCCUUUCUACGUGACUUUACCGAAAGAACCAAGAAUAUGAAUCCCUGCAGUCACGAAAGCUUUCCAUCAAAAUUUGAUGCCUGUUACUUAAAUUUUCAAACAUUCCCACAGCUUUUCAAUGAAAUAUGUAUGAAGUACCAGCCAGUCAAAAGAAUGGAACAAGAUGAUGACUUUAUGCAUUUAAACUCACCUCCAUUUGAAACCUCAAGUUUUCACCACACUCAUCAAGAGGAAGACACAUUUUUAUUUGGGCCUGUUUUAAUGUCAGGUAAAGCAAUUCAUGUAUAAAUAUUGAACUUGUUUUGGCUGAUGAAUAAUAUAUAUCUGAGUAAAAUUCUGAACUUUGUCAAUUCCAGUCUUCAACUUACGAACUGGUUCUGUUCCUGAGACCCGUUCAUAAAUCGAAUGGUUUGUAAGUCAUAACGUAAUAAUGUACUGUAUUUAAAUGCACAUAUGGUCAGUGUUAUAAAAUGUGUUACGGUUCAACAAAAAAGGAAAGCAUUGUUAAACUCAAAUAAUUAUUGUGCAUUUGCAUGCAAUACUGUAAUACUGUAUAGUACAAUAAAACUAAAUAAAGUAACAAAUAGAAAAAAGUCAGCUUUCUUUUCACGUACCGUCAGUCCUGAUACUGGCUUGCUUGUCAGAAAGGGUAGAAAUUGAGUCGCCACAAUUGUACAUAGGGUAAAACCUAUUCCUAUAUCUUGUUUCUGGCAAAGGAGGUCUUGGUACGCCUUUUGGCGUCUUCUGGU